rnacentral:rRNA from 1 species
UGAUCAGCCACACUGGAACUGAGACACGGUCCAGACUCCUACGGGAGGCAGCAGUGGGGAAUCUUGCGCAAUGGGCGAAAGCCUGACGCAGCGACGCCGCGUGAGUGAUGAAGGCCCUCGGGUUGUAAAGCUCUGUGGAGAGAGACGAAUAAGGGUUGGCUAAUAUCCAACUCGAUGACGGUAUCUUUUUAGCAAGCACCGGCUAACUCUGUGCCAGCAGCCGCGGUAAGACAGAGGGUGCAAGCGUUAAUCGGAAUUACUGGGCGUAAAGCGCACGCAGGCGGUCUGUCAAGUCGGAUGUGAAAUCCCCGGGCUCAACCUGGGAACUGCCUUUGUGACUGCAAGGCUGGAGUGCGGCAGAGGGGGAUGGAAUUCCGCGUGUAGCAGUGAAAUGCGUAGAUAUGCGGAGGAACACCGAUGGCGAAGGCAAUCCCCUGGGCCUGCACUGACGCUCAUGCACGAAAGCGUGGGGAGCAAACAGGAUUAGAUACCCUGGUAGUCCACGCCCUAAACGAUGUCAACUGGUUGUUGGGGAUUAAUUUUCUCAGUAACGAAGCUAACGCGUGAAGUUGACCGCCUGGGGAGUACGGCCGCAAGGUUGAACUCAAGGAAUUGACGGGGACCGCACAAGCGGUGGAUGAUGUGGUUUAAUUCGACGCACGCGAAGAACCUUACCUAGC